AAAAUGUGCUGUUACAACACAUGCCUUGCAAGGACAUUGCUGCCUAGUGAAAUCCCUCCGUAGCACCAUGGGACGAGAGUACCAUGCACACCAGGAGAGGUAUUGAUAAGAAUCAGGCCCUUUCAUUUCAAAGAGGAAAUCCUUGAAAUCGGAACUCUCCUCUGGCACUGAAAAUCAGCGCAGCACGGGAAACACAACCGCUUCCCUGAAUUGGAUUCUGGAAACACUUUGAAGUCUGAGAAAUGAUGCAGCAGAUGCUGAGCUGAAAACUAGAAGAUAUAUAAUGAUUUAAGUGUCAGAUGCCUAGUAUUUACUGUUCUUUUAGUUCACUAUGAUAGAAGACUGCAGCUGUGCAAAUUAAAAAAGAAAUCUUAAAAAGGUCAUAUUUUUCAUGACAAUUUUUUCCUGCUAUGUUUGUUUAUUCUCAUAAUGAUAUAUUCUUUGUCAAUUAAAAUCAAUAUAUAUUUUAUUAUAUUUUUUUAACAUGUUAAUUUUCUUGUUGCCAGUAGCAACUACAAAAGGAGUAACCACAAACAGCCAGUGUGUUCCAUGCUUGUUUUCUAGUUACUGUGUCAUGGGCAAA